UACGGGAGGCAGCAGUGGGGAAUAUUGCACAAUGGGCGCAAGCCUGAUGCAGCCAUGCCGCGUGUAUGAAGAAGGCCUUCGGGUUGUAAAGUACUUUCAGUCGUGAGGAAGGUGUUAAGGUUAAUAACCUUAGCAAUUGACGUUAGCGACAGAAGAAGCACCGGCUAACUCCGUGCCAGCAGCCGCGGUAAUACGGAGGGUGCGAGCGUUAAUCGGAAUUACUGGGCGUAAAAGGCACGCAGGCGGUUAAUUAAGUUGGAUGUGAAAUCCCCGGGCUUAACCUGGGAAUGGCAUUCAAGACUGGUUAGCUAGAGUCUUGUAGAGGGGGUAGAAUUCCAUGUGUAGCGGUGAAAUGCGUAGAGAUGUGGAGGAAUACCGGUGGCGAAGGCGGCCCCUGGGACAAAGACUGACGCUCAUGUGCGAAAGCGUGGGGAGCAAACGAGGGAUUAGAUACC
rnacentral:rRNA from 1 species